AAUGAACGCUGGCGGCAUGCCUCAUACAUGCAAGUCGAGCGCGAAAUUUCCUUCGGGAAGGAGUAAAGCGGCGCACGGGUGAGUAACACGUGGGUAAUCUGCCCUUGAGUAAGGAAUAACGCGGGGAAACUCGCGCUAAUACCGGAUACGUCCCUUGGGUCCUUGGGCCCGAGGGAGAAAGGUGGCCUCUCCAUGGAAGCUGCCGCUCGAGGAUGAGCCCGCGUCCCAUUAGCUAGUUGGUGGGGUAAUGGCCCACCAAGGCAUAGAUGGGUAGCUGGUCUGAGAGGAUGACCAGCCACACUGGAACUGAGACACGGUCCAGACUCCUACGGGAGGCAGCAGUAGGGAAUUUUGCGCAAUGGGCGCAAGCCUGACGCAGCAACGCCGCGUGUGGGAUGAAGGCCUUCGGGUCGUAAACCGCUGUCGGGAGGGACGAACGGCUUUGCGGUUAAUACCCGCAGAGCGUGACGGUACCUCCAAAGGAAGCACCGGCUAACUCCGUGCCAGCCGCCGCAGUAAGAC
rnacentral:rRNA from 1 species